CGCCCUUGAGUUUGAUCAUGGCUCAGAAUCAACGCUCGGCGGCAUGCCUAACACAUGCAAGUCGAGCGAGAAAGUGUAGCAAUACAUGAGUAAAGCGGCGCACGGGUGAGUAACACGUGGAUAACCUGCCUCAGAGUGGGGAAUAACACCGGGAAACCGGUGCUAAUACCGCAUAUUCUGAUGGAACCUGCGGGUUUUGUCAGGAAAGGAGCAAUUCGCUCUGAGAGGGGUCCGCGGCUGAUUAGCUAGUUGGUGAGGUAAUGGCUCACCAAGGCAACGAUCAGUAGCCGGUCUGAGAGGACGGUCGGCCACACUGGAACUGAGACACGGUCCAGACUCCUACGGGAGGCAGCAGUGGGGAAUUUUUCGCAAUGGGGGCAACCCUGACGAAGCAUUUUUUUGUGGAUGAUGAAGUAUUUCGGUACGUAAAAUCCUUUCGACAGGGACGAAACCGCAAGGUUGACGGUACCUGUAGAAGAAGCCCCGGCUAACUCCGUGCCAGCAGCCGCGGUAA
rnacentral:rRNA from 1 species